rnacentral:rRNA from 1 species
UACGGAGGGUGCAAGCGUUGUCCGGAUUUAUUGGGUUUAAAGGGUGCGUAGGCGGUCUUUUAAGUCAGUGGUGAAAUCCUCCAGCUUAACUGGGGAACUGCCAUUGAUACUGGGAGACUUGAGUACAGACGAGGUAGGCGGAAUUGACAGUGUAGCGGUGAAAUGCAUAGAUAUUGUCAAGAACACCGAUUGCGAAGGCAGCUUACUAGACUGUAACUGACGCUGAGGCACGAAAGUGUGGGGAUCAAACAGG